UGGCCGCGGGAUUAGAGUUUGAUCCUGGCUCAGAAUAAACGCUGGCGGCGUGCCUAACACAUGCAAGUCGAGCGUGAACGGGACUUCGGUCCCUAGUAAAGCGGCGAACGGGUGAGUAACACGUGGGCAACCUGCCUCAAGGACUGGGAUAACCCCGGGAAACCGGGGCUAAUACCGGACGAUGUCUUCCUGCACAAGUAGGACGACCAAAGGUAGCUUCGGCCUCCGCCUUGAGAUGGGCCCGCGUCCUAUCAGCUUGUUGGUGAGGUAACGGCUCACCAAGGCUACGACGGGUAGCUGGUCUGAGAGGAUGAUCAGCCACACUGGGACUGAGAUACGGCCCAGACUCCUACGGGAGGCAGCAGUGGGGAAUCUUGCGCAAUGGGCGAAAGCCUGACGCAGCAACGCCGCGUGAGCGAAGAAGGCCUUCGGGUUGUAAAGCUCUGUCAGGGGGAAAGAAGGCACCUGGGUUAAUAGCCCAAGGGCUGACGGUACCUCCAAAGGAAGCCACGGCUAACUACGUGCCAGCAGCCGCGGUAAUACGUAGGUGGCGAGCGUUGUCCGGAAUCAUUGGGCGUAAAGAGCGCGUAGGUGGCUUGUCAGGUCCGAUGUGAAAACCUGGGGCUCAACUCCAGGCCUGCAUCGGAAACCGGCUUGCUAGAGUCUGGGAGAGGAGAGUGGAAUUCCUGGUGUAGCGGUGAAAUGCGUAGAUAUCAGGAGGAACACCGGUAGCGAAGGCGGCUCUCUGGAACAGUACUGACGCUGAGGCGCGAAAGCUAGGGGAGCGAACAGGAUUAGAUACCCUGGUAGUCCUAGCCGUAAACGAUGGACACUAGGUGUCGGGGGUGUCGACUCCCUCGGUG
rnacentral:rRNA from 1 species